CAGGUUGGACACCAGGUUGGACACAGAAACAGGUUGGACACAGAAACAGGUUGGACACCAGGUUGGACACACUACCUGCUUGUUGAGAUAGAGGCGCAGACCCGUUGUCAGGAAUUUGCCCAGGACAUCAUAGACUCUCCUUCAAAAAGCCAAAUGUUUCUGGUUAGGUGAGGUUCAUGACAGUGAAGGAAGAUGACCUACAUCAAGGUUAUUCAACUGGCAGCCCACCAAUGAGCUCCCCACAAACACCAAAAUAUACUUCAUUUAAUCUGAAAAUACAUUCUACAUCCAUUUUUAAUUUAUUAUUCAAUGCCAAACAAACCAAUUAAAGGUAAAAGAUUCAAAGGUAAAA